rnacentral:rRNA from 1 species
UACGGCUCAGUAACACGUGGACAAUCUAACCUAAGGUGGGGGAUAACCCCGGGAAACUGGGGAUAAUACCCCAUAGACUAUGAAUGCUGGAAUGCUUUUUAGUCGAAAGGUCAGCCGCCUUAGGAUGGGUCUGCGGCCGAUUAGGUAGUUGUUGGGGUAACGGCCCAACAAGCCUGUAAUCGGUACGGGUUGUGGGAGCAAGAGCCCGGAGAUGGAUUCUGAGACACGAAUCCAGGCCCUACGGGGCGCAGCAGGCGCGAAAACUUUACAAUGCGGGAAACCGUGAUAAGGGAACUCCGAGUGCCCGUUAAAUCGGGCUGUCCAUCAGUUUAAAAAACUGGUGAAGAAAGGGCCGGGCAAGACCGGUGCCAGCCGCCGCGGUAAUACCGGCGGCUCGAGUGGUGGCCACUAUUACUGGGCUUAAAGCGUUCGUA